GGGCUACACCGCUCCCCGGCUAGGGACGAAUGCUGCUAACAACGCCCUGGCUGCUUGGCUUCGCCCCUCACUCAGCCACCCCUUCUGGAGCAAACUGCCAAACAAAGCCCUUGAAGGCUGAAACCCCUUUGCUGUAGCCUUUCGCUUCCACUCUGGCUGUUCCCACGACGACAACCAGGCCCCUGCCCUUUCUGGGAAGGAGACACGCAGGCAUGAUUGCCCUCUUUGAGAGAGAAGAGUCCCAUGGACCUGGACUGAUCACCUGCUGCCUAACUUAGGGGAAGGCACCUGGACCUUAUAAGGGGUAGAUAGCUACAGGGUCCAUGGACUGGAACCCUGGUGUAAGGAGAAGGCCUACGUUCCCCCUACAAGCCACUGAUAUGGUGGUGUGAGACUGCAGAAGGAAAGAAGAGUGACAGAGACCUCUGACAAAAGGGAAUAAGGACCACAGAGAGCAGGUUUGGGUCUAAAGACUUGAUACAAGGUAUUGGACAUUGGUUUGUUGGCCUUUGUUACCCCAGAACGGGUGGACUUAAAUCAUGGCAUGCAUGGAGGACCAAAUUAUGGGAAGGGGUGGAUUGCAGAACACCAGAGCGGCCAUCAGCAGGGGAUCCCAGAUGUGGAGCGAGUCACUACGCCAUACCCAGUCCCAAGGAGAUACUUCAGUGCACUCUUGGUCCAUGAAGGUGUAUCCUGUGUCACUCAGCAGUGAAAACUCCCCUGCAGUCAUAACAGACAAAAAACACACAAAAUAAACAAAAAAACCACCCAAGAAGUCAUAGCGCAAAAGAAUGAAGGGCUGCAACACCGAGAAUGUCCAAGUUUUGUUUUAUAUUAGGUGGCCAUAGCAGUAACUUGUAGUUGACUUAACACACUCAAUUGUUCUGGUGCCUUUUGCUGAAGUAACUACAGCAUAUUGGCCAAUGAUUCUGAAUGCAUACGCCAAGUGCUACAUGCUGCUGCCUCUUCAUGUUGCAAACUGCUAGCACUUGCACUAUGGUUCCCUGAUUUAUUAUGAAACAUUUCCUUUUCUCCAUAUGCUACUAGCAUGAAGUAUGCACCCUUUAUUUUUCUUUCCCUUCACCCAGUAGUGCUUAUAUUACAGUCUGUUCUGUUGUCCUCUCUUGUAAAAUUAUUUCUUCGUGCUUUGCAUUAACACCAUUUCCUUUAGCUCAAGACAAGGAUCAUUGGUUGGUGACUAUAAAGGAUUAUGACAGUCUUAACUUUAAGGAUUAAUUGCAGCUGCUCUGCACGUACACAUGAUACUAAGCCUAAAUAUAAUUUAACAAUCCAUUAUUAUUUUAUUAACAGAAGUUACAUUCUUCAAAGAGGAUCCUCUAUAGCAGAUUUCUCAUUGUACUCAUGAGACAGUAAAGUCUAGGACAGAGGUUCUCAAACUGUGGUCUGCGAGCUCCAUUCAGGUGGUCUGCAGAUAGUUCCCUCUAAGGUGUGCAGCUGGGUGGCUGCACAUGAGAGAAUGAAGGGCCACCCACCUAAUUAGUGGAGCUGUGCAGGCGUGGCUCAAUUAAUUAGAUGCCUGGACCCUGGA